rnacentral:lncRNA from 1 species
UUGCAAUAUCUUAUUUUAUUCUGAAUAUGAGGAUCAAAAUUAUUAUGCAUAAUUAUAGAAUUGGUUUUAACAAGGAUAGACUCAUAAAAAGACUGAUUUUUAGAGAAAUUGUCUGGAAUAUAAAAAUGAGUUUUUGGGAAAAUGGAGUUGCAAAUCUGGUAGGCAUUAAGGUUUGGAUUUUGUAUCCAAUAUUCUGGUUCUAUGGUAAGAAUAAUGUCUUCAAUAUCUUUGUAACUAUAUUCUGAUUGCUCUAUUGGUGAGGAUUUUAGUGGUGAUGGAUUUGGGCUUGAGCUUUGUCCUAUGACAGCUUGUUUAAAGGUAGAGGGAGUGAUUAACUCUUGAGGUUGUAAAGGGGUAAAUUUAUUUAGUAAAGUAAAUUGUGGGCUUGGUGACUUGGGCUGAGGAGAA